CACUAACAACAAAAAGCAGAGUGAGUGGCAACAUGUUGCUGCAGCAGUGAACUCUGUCAGUAGCACGGAGCGCACAGUCCCAGAAUUAAAAAGAAGUGGUCUGACAUAAAGUUACAUAUUUUUAUGUAGCCUACCAAUAAAUCGUUAUGGUCCCUAAAGACCCUCUCCCUCCGAAUCCUGCCAUUUGCAUGGUCCGCCAGAAGUGCCAUAUGGUGCAGCAUUACCACGGCGCUCACCUCUGUAUUUAUAGGGUUACGGUAAUAAGACUGACCGAGAACACCUUGGAUAAUCAGUUUGUAAUUACCCACGUAAAAUGUUCUUGAACAUAACCCCUUUUUAAUGCCUGAUUUGUCAUGAAAAGCAUCAAGAGUAACGGACAACGAUUGUGAUGAGGAGUGUGGCUUGGUUUUCCACACUUGGGAUUUAAUUGACAUUUGAUUACCCGUUUACAGUGUCACAUAAAAAUAUUAUGUUAUUGACACAUGUUGGACAGAUGCUUUAUUCCAUGCAGUCGCGCCGUCAGUGGACAGUAUGGAGUGAUGGGAUUAAAUAUAGAGCAUUUUUUUAAAUUUAUAUUCUAAGGAGAUGUUUCUGGAGUUAUAACUGAGAAAUAACGCAGUUGACUUAAAUUAUUCUGAUUACAUAGAUGUAACGCAUGAUACGGGUUGAAAUUAAAUUAAUGAAGGGCGAUGAUGAAACAUAAUCGUUCUUCUCACUCUCCAAUUCUUCGGUCUGACUUCAGUUCACCACCACACCAUCUGUGUCGCCAAUUCUCCUUUUCCUCUAAACUAUGCGUACGCAUGGGUCAGAGUUUGCUUAGGGCUGCGCACAUUUUCCCGUCAAGUUGGUUUUUUAUAGAUCACAACCUUGGCGUGGAAAGUCACGUACGCCAAUUUCAGCCCCGUUUUGUGCGUACGCAACGGUUAUAAAUGAGACCCCUGGGGCCUCAUGUACUAAGACUUGCGUGGAUUUCAUACUGAAACUUGGCGUACGCCAAAACCCAGAAACUGUCUUACGCACAAAUAAAUUCAGAUGUAUCAAAGUGUGCGAACGCAUGGAUCCAAGCACGUUUCUUUUGUACAUCUCGAUCAACGUGGAAUUGAGCGCACAUGCCGAGGUGCCAAACUCCUCCCUGUCCACGCCCUCAUUUAAAUAUGCAAUUUCAUUUAAAUAGGCCUCUGGACCUGAGAUUCACCUCUUAAUCCGAUCACCUGGCACCAUGAACAGAGGCAAAAAACGAAACUUCACGGAGUCUGAGCUCGAGAUUUUGCUCCACGAGGUAGAAAUGCGCAAGCAUAUGCUAUUGGAACCCUGUCAACAGGGAUAAAUGCAAAACAAAAGAGAAGUGAGUGGGAGUGUGUUUGCGAGGCCGUCAAUGCAGUGGGGUCUCAGCAGCGCACACACUCUGAAAUUAAAAAAAAGUGGUCAGACCUCAAGGUGGAGGUGAAGCGGAGGGUUUCUGCCCACCGCCGAAGCGUGACCGCAACAGGUGGGGGGACGGGAGUGGGGGAACUCUCCCCCUUCGAUUUGAGAGUGGCCGCUUUGAUCGGUGACACAGCUCUCACCGGAGUGGUGGGAGCCCAUGAAGGGGACACCGAUCAUCCCCAAGACAAGCAAGGAGAGGGCACGGAUUGCUCCGUCGGCCCCGGCGUCUCCAGCACCCUUCGGAUUUGACCAUUUGCGAUGUCCUCUAACAACGCUAACGCAGCCAUUUUUAAAACAAUUUUCUUCAUCCAUUGCGCAUGCUUUUAUAGCCACCCAUAUAAUUGCAAGGUGUGUUAAUUGUUCAUUAGUGUGUCUCUGAUGUGCAAAUCACUCUGAGUCAUUGUUUUCACCUUUUUUCCCAGUUUCCCAGCGUCACCUCUAAGUGUCGCCAAAGGAACAAUAGCUGUAGAAACGUGCGUACGACAGCUCUGGAGCUGGCGUGGGGACCGCACAUUUUUACGAUCAUUUCACGUUUUGUACAUCUGAACGUGAGCGUGGAAAAGGACGUACGCCACGUUUUUGUGCGUACGCAACCUUAGUACAUGAGGCCCCUGGUCCUGUCGACAUCCUUCUACACCACGAAACAGAUGAACGCAUGGAAGAGUAUGGAAGCCUACAACUUCUUUGUGUGUGGCUGGGUGAAAGACCUUGGCGUGAAAAGGCUGCCUGACAACUCCUGCAUCGUUUAUGCCCGUGUCAACCAUUCUCAGAGAUCUACGGAGACUCCACUGAAGACACGGCUAUUAGUGAAAGAAGAUGAAGAGGUGAUUACAGCGCACUGCAACAGCAUGGCUGGGCUUGCAGAAUCCUGCUUUCACGUUGGAGCUGUACAAUAUGCCUUGGAGACAGGUGUGAGAUGAGUCAGUCACGUGCACAAUGAAGAAAAGUAAAUGUCUCAAGCCAUCCCAUAUCAACAAGAUCCCAGUGGCUGCUGUAUCAGAUAUCGACUUUGCAUCUGCAAGAGCUAAGAAGAAGAGACUUGAUGAUGCUAUUUCUGGCUCAAGCCCUGAACAAAGCAAAUCUCCCUCCACGAAAAGGGUCUCCCCCUGAGAUUUCAGCAACCACCAGUCUCCCAAAGCCCAUCCUGGAUUACCGAACACCAGACAGGCUGUCAGCCAGAGACCUGCAUGGCUUGUGUGAGCAGUUCAAGAUGCCAGAUCUGACCCCUGCUCCUAUAGCAGCCGUAGAGCGAGAGACCAGGAAGCAUGCAGCCUCAAGGAUAUGGUUCAGGCAGAGAGCAGGCCGGAUAACAGCGUCCAAGCUUAAACAAGCCAUUCGGACAAAUGCAGACAAGCCAGCAAAAAGCCUUAUCAAGGCAAUCUGUUACCCAGAAUCAAACAGAUUCUCUACUGCAGCUACAACAUAAUUGUUUUUAUUUUUCAAACCCCUUUUUGCAAUAAUGCAAAAUUUACAGUUUUUUUUUAGAUAAGAAUAAAUAAAAAUAUAUGCAAACACAUUAUCUCAUCUCAUCACAUCUUCGUCCGCUUAUCCGGGGUCGGGUCCCGGAGGGAGCAGCUCAAGCAGGGGGCCCCAGACUUCCCUUUCCCGGGCCACAUUGACCAGCUCUGACGGGGGGAUCCCGAGGCGUUCCCAGGCCAGUGUUGAGAUAUAAUCUCUCCACCUAGUCCUGGGUCUUCCCCGAGGUCUCCACCCCACUGGACGU